rnacentral:rRNA from 1 species
GAUGAACGCUGGCGGCGUGCCUAAUACAUGCAAGUCGAGCGAACGGACGAGAAGCUUGCUUCUCUGAUGUUAGCGGCGGACGGGUGAGUAACACGUGGAUAACCUACCUAUAAGACUGGGAUAACUUCGGGAAAACCGAACUAAUACCGGAUCAUAUUUUGAAACGCAUGGUUCAAAAGUGAAAGAAGGUCUUGCCGUCACCUAUAGACGGAUCCGCCCUGCAUUAGCCAAGUGGUAAGGUAACGGCUUACCAAGGCAACGAUGCAUAACCGACCUGAGGGGGUGAUCGGCCACACUGGAACUGAGACACGGUCCAGACUCCUACGGGAGGCAGCAGUAGGGAAUCUUCCGCAAUGGGCGAAAGCCUGACGGAGCAACGCCGCGUGAGUGAUGAAGGUCUUCGGAUCGUAAAACUCUGUUAUUAGGGAAGAACAUAUGUGUAAGUAACUGUGCACAUCUUGACGGUACCUAAUCAGAAAGCCACGGCUAACUACGUG